rnacentral:rRNA from 1 species
GACGAACGCUGGCGGCGUGCUUAACACAUGCAAGUCGAACGGAAAGGCCCUGCUUUUGUGGGGUGCUCGAGUGGCGAACGGGUGAGUAACACGUGAGUAACCUGCCCUUGACUUUGGGAUAACUUCAGGAAACUGGGGCUAAUACCGGAUAGGAGCUCCUGCUGCAUGGUGGGGGUUGGAAAGUUUCGGCGGUUGGGGAUGGACUCGCGGCUUAUCAGCUUGUUGGUGGGGUAGUGGCUUACCAAGGCUUUGACGGGUAGCCGGCCUGAGAGGGUGACCGGCCACAUUGGGACUGAGAUACGGGCCAGACUCCUACGGGAGGCAGCAGUGGGGAAUAUUGCACAAUGGGCGGAAGCCUGAUGCGGCAACGCCGCGUGCGGGAUGACGGCCUUCGGGUUGUAAACCGCUUUCGCCUGUGACGAAGCGUGAGUGACGGUAAUGGGUAAAGAAGCACCGGCUAACUACGUG